UAAGGAAUAUUGCGCAAUGGGGGAAACCCUGACGCAGCAACGCCGCGUGGAGGAUGACACUUUUCGGAGCGUAAACUCCUUUUAUCAGGAAAGAAUAAUGACGGUACCUGAUGAAUAAGCACCGGCUAACUCCGUGCCAGCAGCCGCGGUCAUACGGGGGGUGCAAGCGUUACUCGGAAUCACUGGGCGUAAAGGACGCGUAGGCGGAUUAUCAAGGCUUUUGUGAAAUCUAGUGGCUUAACCACUAAACUGCUUAGGAAACUGAUAGUCUAGAGUAGGGGAGAAGUAGAUGGAAUUCUUGGUGUAGGGGUAAAAUCCGUAGAGAUCAAGAAGAAUACCCAUUGCGAAAGCGAUCUGCUGGAACCUAACUGACGCUGAGGCGUGAAAGCGUGGGUAGCAAACAGG
rnacentral:rRNA from 1 species